GGCAGUUCUCGGGUUAUGCACCCUGGAAUUGGGCUCCCUCCUCUCUGGUUCUGGGUGCAUCACCCGAGAACCGCA
rfam:Myotis lucifugus cont2.29787, whole genome shotgun sequence.